CCUACGGGUGGCAGCAGUAGGGAAUCUUCCACAAUGGGCGAAAGCCUGAUGGAGCAACGCCGCGUGGGUGAAGAAGGUCUUCGGAUCGUAAAACCCUGUUGUUAGAGAAGAAAGUGCGUGAGAGUAACUGUUCACGUCUCGACGGUAUCUAACCAGAAAGCCACGGCAAACUACGUGACAGCAGCUGCGGGAAUACGUAGGAGGCAAGAGUUAUCCGGAUUUAUGGGGCGGAAAGGGAGCGCAGUCGGUCUUUUAAGUCUUAUGUGAAAGCCUUCGGCUUAACCGGAGUAGUGCAUUGGAAACUGGGAGUCUUGAGUGCAGGAGAGGUAGGUGGAACUCCAGGUGUAGCGGUGAAAUGCGUAGAUAUAUGGAAGAACAC
rnacentral:rRNA from 1 species